rnacentral:lncRNA from 1 species
CUUCCCCAUGAACUCGUAUAAAUGUGUGGGUCCAUACAUACGCUUCCAUUUGAUCUUUGCUGCCAUCAACACAAUACAGAACCAUUUGCACUGUGCCGCUUAUAGAUGUCAUAAAUGGCAACACAUAUGAAAUUAUACCCCAAGGGGGUGGUGAUGAAGAUGGGUAUGCCCGAGGAGCAUGGGAUUGGAGUAUGCUCUGGAAACGGGUGCCUCUGACCCCUCAAGAGAAGAGACUGAGAAAGACAAAAACUGAACCGUAUCGGUCCCCAGCCAUGGCUGGGGGAUUAUUUGCCAUUGAACGAGAGUUCUUCUUUGAAUUGGGUCUCUAUGAUCCAGGUCUCCAGAUUUGGGGUGGUGAAAACUUUGAGAUCUCAUACAAGAUAUGGCAGUGUGGUGGCAAAUUAUUAUUUGUUCCUUGUUCUCGUGUUGGACAUAUCUACCGUCUUGAGGGCUGGCAAGGAAAUCCUCCGCCCAUUUAUGUUGGGUCUUCUCCAACUCUGAAGAAUUAUGUUAGAGUUGUGGAGGUUUGGUGGGAUGAAUAUAAAGACUACUUCUAUGCUAGUCGUCCUGAAUCGCAGGCAUU